ACGGGUGAGUAAUGUCUGGGGAUCUGCCCGAUAGAGGGGGAUAACCACUGGAAACGGUGGCUAAUACCGCAUAACGUCGCAAGACCAAAGAGGGGGACCUUCGGGCCUCUCACUAUCGGAUGAACCCAGAUGGGAUUAGCUAGUAGGCGGGGUAACGGCCCACCUAGGCGACGAUCCCUAGCUGGUCUGAGAGGAUGACCAGCCACACUGGAACUGAGACACGGUCCAGACUCCUACGGGAGGCAGCAGUGGGGAAUAUUGCACAAUGGGCGCAAGCCUGAUGCAGCCAUGCCGCGUGUAUGAAGAAGGCCUUCGGGUUGUAAAGUACUUUCAGCGGGGAGGAAGGCGAUGUGGUUAAUAACCGCAUUGAUUGACGUUACCCGCAGAAGAAGCACCGGCUAACUCCGUGCCAGCAGCCGCGGUAAUACGGAGGGUGCAAGCGUUAAUCGGAAUUACUGGGCGUAAAGCGCACGCAGGCGGUCUGUUAAGUCAGAUGUGAAAUCCCCGGGCUUAACCUGGGAACUGCAUUUGAAACUGGCAGGCUUGAGUCUCGUAGAGGGGGGUAGAAUUCCAGGUGUAG
rnacentral:rRNA from 1 species